GACGAACGCUGGCGGCGUGCCUAAUACAUGCCAGUUGAGCGCUGAAGGUUGGUACUUGUACCAACUGGAUGAGCAGCGAACGGGUGAGUAACGCGUGGGGAAUCUGCCUUUGAGCGGGGGACAACAUUUGGAAACGAAUGCUAAUACCGCAUAAAAACUUUAAACACAAGUUUUAAGUUUGAAAGAUGCAAUUGCAUCACUCAAAGAUGAUCCCGCGUUGUAUUAGCUAGUUGGUGAGGUAAAGGCUCACCAAGGCGAUGAUACAUAGCCGACCUGAGAGGGUGAUCGGCCACAUUGGGACGGAGACACGCCCCAAACGCCUACAGGAGGCAGCAGUAGGGAAUCUUCGGCAAGGGACGAAAGUCUGACCGAGCAACGCCGCGGGAGUGAAGAAGGGUGUCGGAUCGUAAAACUCUGUUGGUAGAGAAGAACGUUGGUGAGAGUGGAAAGCUCAUCAAGUGACGGUAACUACACAGAAAGGGACGGCUAACUACGUG
rnacentral:rRNA from 1 species